UGGGGAAUUUUGGACAAUGGGGGCAACCCUGAUCCAGCCAUGCCGCGUGAGUGAAGAAGGCCUUCGGGUUGUAAAGCUCUUUCGGCGGGGACGAAACGGUCCGUGACAACACCACGGACUAAUGACAGUACUCGCAGAAGAAGCACCGGCUAACUACGUGCCAGCAGCCGCGGUAAUACGUAGGGUGCAGGCGUUAAUCGGAAUUACUGGGCGUAAAGCGUGCGCAGGCGGCUCCUUAAGUCAGAUGUGAAAUCCCCGGGCUUAACCUGGGAACUGCGUUUGAAACUGAGGGGCUAGAGUGUGGAAGAGGGGGGUGGAAUUCCAGGUGUAGCAGUGAAAUGCGUAGAGAUCUGGAGGAACACCGAUGGCGAAGGCAGCCCCCUGGGCUAACACUGACGCUCAUGCACGAAAGCGUGGGGAGCAAACAGGAUUAGAUACCCGCGUAGUCCCUGAGCGGGCUGGCAAGGCGCAU
rnacentral:rRNA from 1 species